rnacentral:rRNA from 1 species
CAAGUCGAACGAAGUAGCAAUACUUAGUGGCAGACGGGUGAGUAACAUGUAGGUAUCUACACUUUGGCCUGGAAUAACACGAGGAAACUUGUGCUAAUACCGGAUAAGUCUUUACGGAGAAAGCUUUAUGCACCAUUGGAUGAGCCUGCACUUGAUUAGUUUGUUGGUGGGGUAAUGGCCUACCAAGACUGUGAUCAAUAGCUGAUUUGAGAGGAUGAUCAGCCACAUUGGGACUGAGACACGGCCCAAACUCCUACGGGAGGCAGCAGUGGGGAAUCUUGCACAAUGGAGGAAACUCUGAUGCAGCGAUGCCGCGUGAGUGAAGAAGGCCUUUGGGUUGUAAAGCUCUUUCGUCGGGGAAGAAAAUGACUGUACCCGAAUAAGAAGGUCCGGCUAACUUCGUGCCAGCAGCCGCGGUAAUACGAAGGGACCUAGCGUAGUUCGGAAUUACUGGGCUUAAAGAGUUCGUAGGUUGUUGAAAUAGUUGGUGGUGAAAUCCCAGAGCUUAACUCUGGAACUGGCCAUCAAACUUUUCAGCUAGAGUAUGAUA